rnacentral:rRNA from 1 species
ACCAUGCAGUCGAGCGGAAGGCCACUUCGGUGGUACUCGAGCGGCGAACGGGCGAGUAACACGUGAGUAAUCUGCCCCUGGCUUUGGGAUAGCCACCGGAAACGGUGAUUAAUACCGGAUAUGACCAUCUUGCGCAUGCAUGGUGGUGGAAAGUUUUUCGGCCAGGGAUGUGCUCGCGGCCUAUCAGCUUGAUGGUGAGGUAAUGGCUCACCAUGGCUUCGACGGGUAGCCGGCCUGAGAGGGUGACCGGUCACACUGGGACUGAGACACGGCCCAGACUCCUACGGGAGGCAGCAGUGGGGAAUAUUGGACAAUGGGCGGAAGCCUGAUCCAGCAACGCCGCGUGAGGGAUGACGGCCUUCGGGUUGUAAACCUCUUUCAGCAGGGACGAAGCGCAAGUGACGGUACCUGCAGAAGAAGCACCGGCCAACUACGUGCCAGCAGCCGCGGUAAUACGUAGGGUGCGAGCGUUGUCCGGAAUUAUUGGGCGUAAAGGGCUCGUAGGCGGUUUGUCGCGUCGGGAGUGAAAACCAGGUGCUUAACACCUGGCUUGCUUUCGAUACGGGCAGACUAGAGGUAUUCAGGGGAGAACGGAAUUCCUGGUGUAGCGGUGAAAUGCGCAGAUAUCAGGAGGAACACCGGUGGCGAAGGCGGUUCUCUGGGAAUAUCCUGACGCUGAGGAGCGAAAGUGUGGGGAGCGAACAGGAUUAGAUACCCUGGUAGUCCACACCGUANACGUUGGGCGCUAGGUGUGGGGUCCAUUCCACGGAUUCCGUGCCGCAGCUAACGCAUUAAGCGCCCCGCCUGGNGAGUACGGCCGCAAGGCUAAAACUCAAA